UGGGGAAUAUUGGACAAUGGGCGAAAGCCUGAUCCAGCCAUGCCGCGUGUGUGAAGAAGGUCUUCGGAUUGUAAAGCACUUUAAGUUGGGAGGAAGGGCAGUAAGCGAAUACCUUGCUGUUUUGACGUUACCGACAGAAUAAGCACCGGCUAACUCUGUGCCAGCAGCCGCGGUAAUACAGAGGGUGCAAGCGUUAAUCGGAUUUACUGGGCGUAAAGCGUGCGUAGGCGGCUAAUUGAGUCGGAUGUGAAAUCCCCGAGCUUAACUUGGGAAUUGCAUUCGAUACUGGUUAGCUAGAGUGUGGGAGAGGAUGGUAGAAUUCCAGGUGUAGCGGUGAAAUGCGUAGAGAUCUGGAGGAAUACCGAUGGCGAAGGCAGCCAUCUGGCCUAACACUGACGCUGAGGUACGAAAGCAUGGGGAGCAAACAG
rnacentral:rRNA from 1 species